rnacentral:lncRNA from 1 species
AUUUACAGUUAAAUUGUGUAACUAAAAAUUAAAUGUAAACGGAGAAUUAUUUGAUUAAGUGAUUGAAUGAAUGGUAGCCUUACUGGAUAUCUUGAUAGAUGGUGAACUUACCGGGUGCAUAGGGAACCCUACUAUGAAUAUUGCCUCAUAUCAGAUGGAGUAUCGAGAAUUGGUAUUUUGACAUUCAUACCAGACGAAGUAUGGAGACGACCAGUUUUACCCUCAUACCGAAUUGGGUAUUGAGGGGUGGUAU